AGGUAUGUUGUGCCCCGCCUCGAGCCAUGAGGAGAGGCAGGAACGGGGAAAACCAGUUCCAAUCAAUGAACACAAAUAGGAUGCUGGUCCUUGGCAUGUUUCUCCUGGUCCCCACAUCAGAUAGCUUAUGUGCUGCCCUGUUUUUUUGGAACUGACGAGGAUGAAGCCUGACAUGACAGGGGAAUUCUCUCAGCUCCUGUUCUUCUAGAAGUAAGAGGUAUGUCACUGUAAUUACCUCUUCUGCUGCCAUCACUUAAGCAAUUGUGUUUUGUUAUUGUAUACUUUUAAAUAUAUCAAAAUCAUUGUACUGCUGCUGUAUUUACCUCCUGUUAUCGGGAUAGCAUGUAGCCACCUUCCCCAGGAAAGCCUGCAUAUUGUGUGAGUUGUGGAGACUUAAACUCCCACCGAAACAAGUUUAAGUGAUGUCUGGAAGUGUCCUAAGAGAAUGGGAUUUUCUAUGACUGGUUUCUAUGGCUGAGUGGGAAUUUGAACUCUGGUCUUCUAUUUACACUGUGUAAUUAAUCCACUUUCAUGCUACUUUUACUACUAUGGCUCAAUGUUAUGGAAUCCUGGGAACUCGUUUGGUGAGGUGCCAAUAUUUUUUGGCAAAUAAUACUAAAUAUCUCGUAAAACUACAACUCCCAUUAAUACCAUAGCAUUGAAACAUGGCAGUUAUUGUAGUGCCAAACAGUAUUAAUUCAACAGAAUAGAUCUACUUGUACUGUCUUAGUCCAAUGCUCAAAUCCCUGUGCCAUUUUACCUCUCAAGGGGCCCUUGUAGACUUCACCAGAUAUUCUACAUAAAUCAGAAAAAAAUUAAAACACAACAACAACAACAACAACAACAACAACAACAACAACAACAACAACAACAUUUGAUUGUGGUAACAGUGGUCUUUGUUAUAUUUCAGAAGUGGAUGGCUGUGUUGAGGUGGGCCCAGUCCCCCCAACCCCAGGAGGAUAUGCUAGCAUAUUUCUGGCAAACUGGGAAUGAUUCUGGCUUUAGUUUAAGAAAAUGGAUCAGCUGUUUUCCUGAUCCAUGAGGGAAGAAGUAUGGAGAGCAAUUAGUACUAUGCUGCAAUUUGGAAGAGUUUCAGAUGGUUUAUUUGCUCCUCCCCCAGUAGACAUUUUUGAGGCAGUGAGGGCUUUGCAGUGCCCUGGAGCUAUUAGGGGACCAAGAAUGUGGCUGCAUGCUACAUUUUAUCUAACCUGAUGAAUAUCAAUCUGUCAGUAUUUUAGUUCUGCAGGGGGUCCUCUUUAGGUUAGGAAGGCAGCUAUUAGUCAUCCACUACUUGACAGAAGUUUUCAUGUAGGAAGGUGGCAGAAAAUAGAUCAAAACCCACAAUACAUUUCUGUGUGAUCUGAAAAGAUUGGCAGGGAUUAUUGACUUGAAUAAUUUAACAACAGGAACAAAACAAAUGACUUACAUUCCUCAUUGUAAAUUAUGCCACUUAGAUAAUGAAUGUUUCAUGUAAUCAGGGAUGGAGUUUUGUGUAGGAAGUCCUAAGCUUGAAUAAAAUUUGGU